UCCCUGAUGGUCUACUGAUUAGGAUUCAGUGCUUUCACUGCUGUAGGCCCCGGUUCAAUCCCUGGUCAGGGAA
rnacentral:tRNA from 1 species